AGAGUUUGAUCCUGGCUCAGAUUGAACGCUGGCGGCAGGCUUAACACAUGCAAGUCGAACGGUAACAGGAAGAAAGCUUGCUUUCUUUGCUGACGAGUGGCGGACGGGUGAGUAAUGCUUGGGAAUCCGGCUUAUGGAGGGGGAUAACUACGGGAAACUGUAGCUAAUACCGCGCAAUAUCGAGAGAUUAAAGGGUGGGACCGCAAGGCCACCUGCCAUGAGAUGAGCCCAAGUGGGAUUAGGUAGUUGGUGAGGUAAAGGCUCACCAAGCCGACGAUCUCUAGCUGGUCUGAGAGGAUGACCAGCCACACUGGAACUGAGACACGGUCCAGACUCCUACGGGAGGCAGCAGAAGGGCGAAUU
rnacentral:rRNA from 1 species